rnacentral:rRNA from 1 species
GACGAACGCUGGCGGCGUGCUUAACACAUGCAAGUGGUGCGACGAACCAGGCUUCGGCCUGGGGCAGAGCCGCGAACGGGUGAGUAACACGUGGGCAACCUGCCCUGUUGAUCGGGACAACCCGGGGAAACCCGGGCUAAUACCGAAUGUGGUGCCGGCUCAUGAGAGCCGUCACGAAAGGAAGCGUCGGCCUCCGCCACCGGAUGGGCCCGCGGCCCAUUAGCUUGUUGGUGGGGUAAUGGCCUACCAAGGCAACGAUGGGUAGCUGGUCUGAGAGGACGAUCAGCCACACUGGGACUGAGACACGGCCCAGACUCCUACGGGAGGCUGCAGUGGGGAAUCUUGCGCAAUGAGCGACAGCUUGACGCAGCAACGCCGCGUGGGGGAAGAAGGCUUUCGGGUCGUAAACCCCUUUCAGUUAGGACGAAGCUUUAUUGGUUAAUAACCAAUUGGAGUGACGGUACUUUCAGAAGAAGCCCCGGCUAACUACGUGCCAGCCGCCGCCGUAA